ensembl:lncRNA
UAUAAUUGUUUCAUCCUAAAUAAAAAACUUCAUUUACCUGCUUUAUAUAGUGAGGAUGUACAUAAGAGUUAGACUGAAGUGAUUCAAUUGUACCAAUGUGAGUUGAGUCUGUGCCACAUACCAGGCUCUGGAACUCGGCCAUGAACAAACAGACAUCAGGCCCUGCUCUUAUGAAGCUUAGAUUCUAGUGCAAUAACUGGAGAGAAAUAAACUGAAUGGAACAUCAGAUGGUGAUGAAAGUGAAAGCGUUAGUCACUUAGUCGUGUCCAACUCUUUGUGACCCCAUGGACUGUAGGCCGCCAGGUUCCUCUGUCCAUGGGAUUCUCUAGGCAAGAAUACUCCAGUGGGUUGCCAUUUCCUCCUUCAGGGGAUCUUCCUGACCCAGGGAUCAAACCCAGGUCUUCCGCAUUGCAGGCAGAAGCUUUAUCAUCUGAACCACCUGCUAUGAAAAAGCCCAGCAGACUGAGAGAGGAGCUGGAGGAGGGGAGCGGAGGGAGACACGGAGCAGGCCGUGAGGCGUGAGGCGAGCGCGGAAAGUGCAGGUGAAAUUUGACAUUUUCAUCUUUAUGUGAAGUUUUGGUAUUUUGCUCAUCGUGGACUUUUUGCAUCAUUUUUUUAUUUUUGAAAAAAUCAGUACUUAGUUCCCCAGUCACCUGGCGCCCUUUAACAUCUUGCGUUGGUCCCACCCUGGUUUCAGCCCCGGAAGCGGAGUCCGAGUAAAUGGGGUCACGGUCACUGAGGAGGGCUCUGGGUGCUGGCCAGGUCUUCAGAAUGUCCUCCGUGGUCUGUGGAGCGGCCACUGCAGGGUCUGGAGCAAACAGACGGGAGCAGACUGGAGAAGGUCAGCGGUGCAAGCACACUUUGCCGAAAGGGGAAGAUGUGUGACCCCUGAAAAGGCGGAGGACUGGAUGGACACCCUGUCUGAACAGGAAGCCGGAAUCCAGGCCCUUUCUUGUUGAAGAGCAUCUGGUCUACACGGAAGAGACUGUGAUCCCUCUGCCAAACGCCUGAGCCGGUGACUGUUGCUACCUCAGGGGUCAGCUUGUUUGACUGUGGUGGUUAUCAUCUGUCUCUAGCCGGCAUCACUCUCUGACCACUCUUGUGCACUUGUCCUUCCGCCCGGCCGAACUUCACUCCUAGGAUGUUUCUGCCGUGCUCCUCCCUGGGGUGCUGACUGAGGUGCUGCCUGCUGCUGCUGGGACGGCUCGACCAUGACUUUCUGGGCCGUCGCCUCCCUGGGGCUCAAGGAAACCCUUCCAGGAUCAGUGCCCAGACUGAAGUCACUAGAGAGAGCCAUACUCCAGGUCCGGACAGUGCUUUUCCUCCCUGCUCUGACUCCCUCUUUCUGGGAGCAGAGGUGUGUCGGAGGCGUGACAGCAGCAGCCCGAGUGGCUGGCACCCGGGGAGUGAACGUGGAGAGGAGCUGGGAAGGUAGACAAGAAGUGGAUCGGGAAGGGUGCGUGAUGCCUGAAGGAGUGCGAACUUCAUCCAGGGUCCGAGCAGGGCUCCCUGGGCCGUCCUGCCGGGGCUGUCUGCUCAGAGCCCCCUCCCGCUCCUCAGUGCUCCCCAAACGCUUGGACAGGGAGUUGCUUUGGUGACUCCUCCUCCCUCCCGCCUGGGGCUAACUCCCAGCUGUCAAGUCAGCUCGUGCGGACCUCCAGACCAUAACUGCCUGGUCCUGUCAUCACAGUGUCACGAACCUCUCUCCACACUGGCAGUUCUGAGGCUUAAGUGUGUUGCCAGCACACAGAAGGUGCUCUAUAAAUGGCCAAAGAAGCCCAUCUUUUUUUUUUUUUAAUUCAGUCCAGUUCAGUCACUCAGUCGUGUCCGACUCUCCGCGACCCCAUGAAUCACAGCACGCCAGGCCUCCCUGUCCAUCACCAACUCCCGGAGUUCACUCAGACUCACGUCCAUCGAGUUGGUGAUGCCAUCCAGCCAUCUCAUCCUCUGUCGUCCCUUUCUCCUCCUGCCCCAAACCCCUCCCAGCAUCAGUUUUUUAAAUUAAUGAAUUCGUUUACGGCUGCACCCUGCCCUAGUUGUGGCUCUCUGGGUCUUCUGCGGCAGUGGGUGGGCUUCUCUCUCAGUGAGGCACCUGGACUCAGCCUCUGUGAAUUGUUACCCUGUGGCACGUGGACUCACUUCCCCACCCAGGGAUCAAACCCACACCCUCUGCCCUGGAGGCAGCUUCCCAACCGCUGGACCCUCAGGGAAGUCCCAACCCACCAUUUUUUUCAGAAACCUUUAACUCUUAUAAAGCCCAGCACACUAAGUGAAGGUGCCUUGUAACAACUCUUCUGGGUGUCUUUGAUUUUUAAAUAGAGGCAUCAUUUGGCUUUAAUAACCAGACGUUCAGGAACGGCACAUCCAGCUGACCCAGGACGCAACAGCAGCCCUGACUAGCGCACUCCCCGGGGUCAAGCACAGGGACGCGCCCGGGCCCUUCUCACAGCUGCUUCCUCUGGACUCCGGGGUCCUGCACUCGCGCGUGAUUGCAUUUGACUCAGGGUUCACAUACAGCGGGACUUAAGGCCCAAGGUUGGAACUGGGGUCCCGGUGCGGGUAGCUGAGUAUUGAUUUGAGGCGGAUUCGACUUUCUGCCAACAGCCUGGCUUUCCUCAGCCGGGAGUACCCUGAGGCUGGACAAAGUGCUGCCGGAAGGGAAC